CAGUCGCCGCGGGAAUACGAAGGGUGCAAGCGUUACUCGGAAUUACUGGGCGUAAAGCGUGCGUAGGUGGUUGUUUAAGUCUGUUGUGAAAGCCCUGGGCUCAACCUGGGAAUUGCAGUGGAUACUGGGCAACUAGAGUGUGGUAGAGGGUAGUGGAAUUCCCGGUGUAGCAGUGAAAUGCGUAGAGAUCGGGAGGAACAUCCAUGGCGAAGGCAGCUACCUGGACCAACACUGACACUGAGGCACGAAAGCGUGGGGAGCAAACAGGAUUAGAUACCCCGGUAGUCCCUGUCUCUUAUAA
rnacentral:rRNA from 1 species